rnacentral:rRNA from 1 species
GACGAACGCUGGCGGCGUGCUUAACACAUGCAAGUCGAACGGAAAGGCCCUGCUUUUGUGGGGUGCUCGAGUGGCGAACGGGUGAGUAACACGUGAUUAACCUGCCCUUGACUUUGGGAUAACUUCAGGAAACUGGGGCUAAUACCGGAUAGGAGCUCCUGCUGCAUGGUGGGUGUUGGAAAGUUUCGGCGGUUGGGGAUGGACUCGCGGCUUAUCAGCUUGUUGGUGGGGUAGCGGCUUACCAAGGCUUUGACGGGUAGCCGGCCUGAGAGGGUGACCGGCCACAUUGGGACUGAGAUACGGCGCAGACUACUAUGGGAGGCAGCAGUGGGGAAUAUUGCACAAUGGGCGGAAGCCUGAUGCAGCAACGCCGCGUGCGGGAUGACGGCCUUCGGGUUGUAAACCGCUUUCGCCUGUGACGAAGCGUGAGUGACGGUAAUGGGUAAAGAAGCACCGGCUAACUACGUG